CUGAUCUUAAUACUUGGUCCGUGAGGGCUAGUACGCUCUUGUAGAAAGAAGUUAUGCACUGUCCGACUACUUGUUUCUGCAAGACAAGGUAAGACUAGGUUGUGCAUAGACGAAGCAGUUCUCGUAGGAACAGUUCUUUAAGUAGACUAUUCAUCUAAUGAGGACCGCUUGGCUCCCUUUUUGAUUUUCCAGCCAAAGAGUUUUUAAGGGUUGAAGUGUUCAAUAGCGAAUAGAGGCUUGAUUAUAAACUGUAAAAGUUAAAGCUACAGCAAAAAGCUAGAAGCCACAACCAACACUGACAACCCCUUAAGCUAUCAAUUUUAUAAGAUAUUUGUAUGUUGUUCAAUUUGCAUUAAAUUCCAAGUACUCUCAUUUCUGAUUAAUGUACUUGGUAAGAAUAAUAAUGGUAA